AGAGAGAGAGAGAGAGAGAGAGAGAGAGAGAGAGAGAGAGAGAGAGAGAGAGUCAGAGAGAUAAGCAGCACUAACCAUGAGUUCCUGAAUUUUCUUCAAUUUAUACCUUGUAAUGAGCUAAUUGAAAGGCACAACCUGGAAACUACAGAGCAGAUGAGACACAGAAGUGGACUAAACUGAACAACCCAAGAAAAGAAAAAUAAGGAAAACAAAGAUUAAAAGGGCAAAACAAGCAGAUCACCUGGAGGGAAACACAGCAAACAUCAGGCAACACCAGCAGCAGCAGCAUCAGUAGCCCUGACAGGACCCAGAGUACUCUAAGGUGGGGAGAAGGAAGAGGAGCUACUGUCACUAGGAAAAGAGGAGGGCUCUCCGGUAAAGCAAGCGGUAGAAGGGGAAGAUCAGCAAGACUACCCAAAGAGCUAGAAGGGCCAGCACAGCCUCAGGAAGAUGAGGAAGAGGAGACUGUAGAGCACUGGUUAAGAGAUCAAGGAAAGCCACAAUGAAAAGCCCUGGAAAGCCACAAUGAUCCCAUGCUUGUGAUGUUAAAAGGUUAUUGAUAGGGGUGCUAAGAAUUUUGUGGUGGUGUUGGAGGUAUUGGGUAAUGUUGCGUUGGUUGUGAUGCACCUAAAGAGGCAUUGCAUUGUGCAAUAUAUCUCUAAAUAAGUUUUAUAACCUUAACUUGUCUCUGUGCCUGAAGUACCAUCAUUACAGAUGGCAGUAAGUCGGUAAAAAAAGAAUUAUGGUGCGUCUUCAUAAGCGUAACUCUUUUAUGGAGCCUCCAUGCCAGCAUACUAUUUCACAAUGUGGACAGCAUGUCUCGGAUAUCACCUGAUGAUAUGUCUGAAUUUUUUCUUUUUCAGCAAGGGUGCCAACUGAUGGAUUUUUAGGGGGAGUUGGAGUGGUAGUUCCAGAAGAUGAUGGGGGACUGUCAGUUUACAUUGUUUCACCCAGCAUGUUGUCUCCUGCUACAUAUUGUGUCCCCCGCUUGCUGAACAUCUUCUAGAUUUCCAGAUGUCCUAUUGAAAACAAAACAGAUGUAAUUAAAAACAAGCAUAACUGCACUUUAUUUUCAAGUAAUUAAAACAAGAUAAUCUAUAUAUUAAAUUAUUAUGUUAGACAAUAUAAUAUAUAUAUUAAUAACCCCUCAAGUUGCCAACAGUGAGGGCAGUAUGGGCUAGUCUCUGCAGCAGGUGGCAAAAUUGAGGUUUAUUCCCAUCACAAUGGAUUUUAAUCCCCCAUAUGUGCAGCUGGUAAAAAGAUUCAGCAACAAAAAAGGAUUAACACACAAUCCUUCAUUGUAUGAAUUACAGACAUCUAUGUUUUUUAUGAGAAUAAAAAAUAUGAAGAUCUUUUGACAUAAUUCAAACACCUACUCCCAUAUGUAAUAAAAGAUACUAAGUUUUCCCAGAUGGAUAGCAACCCAUAAGAUGUUGUUUUUAAUGCUACCUGAUGCUUGGUUGCUAUGGGUUACUGUCCCAGGCCAAACUUAGUGUCUUUCCCAAAUAUCUUUUAGUAAAUGCCAGAAACCAUAAAUAUAAUUUAAUAAAUGCCAGAAAAACACACGUAUGCAAAAAUCACACCAAAAAUGUAGCCAUUUUUUGGUAAUUUGACAACUACAUUCUGGUUGAUACAUAUCUAUAGUCAUGGCAUAAAAAAGGGGCAUUUUUAUGGGAAGAUAAUAGUGUAGCAUACUGUAACAAGAUUUAGCAAAUCAAAUUUGUACUGGGGCUCAUUUAUCAAUGCAUUACAUUGCGUGGGUUGAUUUAUUUUUACGCCAGUUCUUUUUAUGCGCAUGUCGCAAAUACUUGGCAAUAAUGUCGCAAGCAACUACAUGUUUUUUGGGCAUGUGGCUAGCGGUGUGUUUCAAGUGCGGGAUUUUUGCACGAGUGCGCCCUUUGCGCGUGUAUAUGUGCUAUUUGCGUGUAUGUAUGCGCAGAUUUGUGCAGGCAGGCUGAAAAUCUUUACACCUGUUCAUUUGUGGCGUAUUUCUGACUGCGCAUUCUUCACCAUUUGCGCUAGUAUAUUUGCAGAUUUGCGCUACAAUGAACUCAAUGCAAUAUUUAUUGUAAUUCAUUUAGGUAUGUUAAUAAAACCAUGUUAAUGUUUCUCAAAAGUAUGAUAUGUUAAUUAGCAUUAUUAUAAAAAUAUAAAU